UGGGGAAUUUUUGGACAAUGGGCGAAAGCCUGAUCCAGCAAUGCCGCGUGUGUGAAGAAGGCCUUCGGGUUGUAAAGCACUUUUGUCCGGAAAGAAAUCCUUGGCUCUAAUACAGUCGGGGGAUGACGGUACCGGAAGAAUAAGCACCGGCUAACUACGUGCCAGCAGCCGCGGUAAUACGUAGGGUGCAAGCGUUAAUCGGAAUUACUGGGCGUAAAGCGUGCGCAGGCGGUUUGCUAAGACCGAUGUGAAAUCCCCGGGCUCAACCUGGGAACUGCAUUGGUGACUGGCAGGCUAGAGUAUGGCAGAGGGGGGUAGAAUUCCACGUGUAGCAGUGAAAUGCGUAGAGAUGUGGAGGAAUACCGAUGGCGAAGGCAGCCCCCUGGGCCAAUACUGACGCUCAUGCACGAAAGCGUGGGGAGCAAACAGGAUUAGAUACCCUGGUAGUCCACGCCCUAAACGAUGUCAACUAGUUGUUGGGGAUUCAUUUCCUUAGUAACGUAGCUAACGCGUGAAGUUGACCGCCUGGGGAGUACGGUCGCAAGAUUAAAACUUAAAGGAAUUGACGGGGUCAUAGCUGUUUCCU
rnacentral:rRNA from 1 species